UACGAAGGGUGCAAGCGUUACUCGGAAUUACUGGGCGUAAAGCGUGCGUAGGUGGUUCGUUAAGUCUGAUGUGAAAGCCCUGGGCUCAACCUGGGAAUGGCAUUGGAAACUGGCGAUCUAGAGUGCGGUAGAGGGUAGUGGAAUUCCCGGUGUAGCAGUGAAAUGCGUAGAGAUCGGGAGGAACAUCAGUGGCGAAGGCGACUACCUGGCCUGUUCUUGACGCUGAGGCGCGAAAGCUAGGGGAGCAAACGGG
rnacentral:rRNA from 1 species